AGCUAGGAAAGAAGGUAUGGAAGUGGGAGAGAACAUUUAGGAAAGAGAUUUCAAAGAGAUUACAAGAGAAAUCUCCCCAAAGCACAAAAGGGCCAUUCAAAGUAAAAGAGAGAGAAGAAGAGCAUCCAAGUGAAUCCCAAAGCUUCCUCUCCAACUGUGUGCUGCCUCGGUGAUCCUCUACUUCGUGCAAAAUCAGAAGA
rnacentral:lncRNA from 1 species